rnacentral:rRNA from 1 species
GUGCCAGCCGCCGCGGUAAUACGGGGGAUGCAAGCGUUGUCCGGAUUUAUUGGGCGUAAAGAGCUCGUAGGCGGUUCAACAAGUCGGUCGUAAAAGUUUAGGGCUCAACCCUAAAAUGUCGAUCGAUACUGUUGUGACUAGGAUACGGUAGAGGUGAAUGGAAUUCCGAGUGUAGCGGUGAAAUGCGUAGAUAUUCGGAGGAACACCAAUUGCGAGGGCAGCUCACUGGGCCGCUAUCGACGCUGAGGAGCGAAAGCUAGGGGAGCGAACAGGAUUAGAUA